rnacentral:lncRNA from 1 species
AAAAAACAAAUUUAUAACACUAAAAAGUUUGUCAUAGCUGCUUAAAAAUAUACUAGUAAGUAAAUAAAAGAAAUUAUAAAGUUAUAAAAUAAAAGACCUAAUUAAAAUUAAACUAAAACACACAAGGUAAAAUUGAAAAUAAACAAAAACAGUGGAGGGACCAAUAGUCCAUGCGCGGAAACAGCUAGGGACUACAACUGACAAUAUACCAGAUCCCAAAAGGCUGUAUUCAAGCGCGGGUCCAUUUGCAAACGUGUAUAAAUUACAUAGCUAAAUUAAUAAAAAUAAAAAAAUAAAUGAGAGCCAAACGAAACAUGGUGCAACAGGGAGGGACCGAUGCUGUAAAUAGACCCUCUUCGUGAAAACGCGCGGGUCGUCGGGGCAGCUAAACGGAUCAGGUCGGGGCUCCAUCCUACGACGUCGAUUUUGACCCAUUGUAAUGGGCUUGAAACGGCGUCGCUUUUAACCCUUUAAAAGGGCUGAAGACUGAGUCAUUCAGCCGAACCCUAGCCCUUUCCCCUCUCUCGUUGCUCAAUCGACCUCCAAGUGCUCCUUUUAGCACUAAUUCGUCACUACGAGCGACGGUCUGUGCAUCCGAGCCCUAAAAGAGGGGUUUUCGCCUUUGAAACCCCCAUUUAAACUUUGAUUUCGACGAAGUAAAAGGGGGGACGACGAUUAGCUUCGCAAGGUAAGCUCCUCUUUCACCGUUCCUUUGUUCAUCUCUUUAUUUUCAAAACGAUAAUGGUGAAUGACCCCCAAACCAGAAACGCAAUGAUAUAUGGUAAACUAAGAGGAUUCGAGGAAGAAAAGAAAUCACCUCUGCUUUUUUUGUGCGUAUUCGUAUUGCUUUUGUUCAUAAAAAAAUCUCUCUUUACAGUAUCUAUUUGUAUAUUUUUGUUGCGUAAAUGCGCGUCCCCCCAUUACAAUGAACAUUUUCUGGCUUUAUAUCCGAAACGAAAGAAAAACAAAUAAAAGAAAAAUAAUAUUUUCUCUUUUGUCUCUGUUUGUUGCUGCGUUUGUCUUGUUCGCAGGUACGGAGCAGAGGACAUGCGCUGGCAAAUUGGUGCGGGGCGUACGGGGUGGUGCUGGCGUGUGUACGGGAGCAUGCGUGGCGCCAGGAGGAGUGUAUGGUGCCUGGAGGCUGCUGAGGUUGCUACGGCUUGAGGACCCCUUUUGCCCUAGGGUUUGCCAAAGCUGAGCAUGGGUUUCGGGCUGUUUGGGUCUGUCCAGUUAGUGGGCCCUUAUAUUUGGGCUAUGGGGCUACUGGUUUUUUGUAAUUGGACUAAAGUAUUUAAGGGACUGUUAUAAUUUUGUUUAUUUUAUGUUUUUUUUUGGUUUAUUUGGGACGGGCAAAUUUGGCCCAUUACAAUGUAUAUAGGAUCAAGCUAAUUUUACUAUGAAUAAUAUAUGUUCAUGUAGAUAUAAAACAUUUGAAUGAAAUAUUAUAUAAAGAUAUUAAAAUAAUAUAAAAAAGACUUCAAACUCAUUGUACAAAGAAAACUA